rnacentral:rRNA from 1 species
GACGAACGCUGGCGGCGUGCUUAACACAUGCAAGUCGAACGGUGAAGCGCCUUCCUUUUUGGUGGGUGUGGAUGAGUGGCGAACGGGUGAGUAACACGUGAGUAACCUGCCCCCUUCUUCUGGAUAACCGCAUGAAAGUGUGGCUAAUACGGGAUAUUCUGGGUCUGUCGCAUGAUGGGUCUGGGAAAGAUAUUGUUUCGGUGGGGGAUGGGCUCGCGGCCUAUCAGCUUGUUGGUGGGGUGAUGGCCUACCAAGGCGGUGACGGGUAGCCGGCCUGAGAGGGUGGACGGCCACACUGGGACUGAGACACGGUCGAGACUCAGACGGGAGGCAGCAGUGGGGAAUAUUGCACAAUGGGCGCAAGCCUGAUGCAGCGACGCCGCGUGAGGGAUGGAGGCCUGCGGGUUGUGAACCUCUUUCGCCAGUGAAGCAGGCCUGCCUCGUUUGUGGGUGGGUUGACGGUAGCUGGAUAAGAAGCGCCGGCUAACUACGUG